rnacentral:lncRNA from 1 species
AGCGCCAACGGCCGCCGUUGAGAGGCCAGCGCAGAAGGUGCCUUAGGAACGCUGUGCCAUGGGGUGAGCAGCCUGCGUGGGCCGAACCUGUCACUCAACAGGGUGGCAGCGACUAAGGAUGUGGUCCCAUUACAUGGUUCUGCGCCAAGAACUUUGUGCACAGGGCCAACCAUAGAGGGAAACACUGAUAGCAAAAAGGCAGAAGUAUUUUUCAGCAUUGCAAGCCUCAGCCAACCUUCAGCCCAAAAAGCGUGACGUGGAACUGAGCGCCGUGCAGGACUGCAGAGCGCCGUGGAGAGACUCCGAAGAGCAGCAGCUCAAUGUGCAGAACACAGGCGGGAGGAAACAGGAAACCAUUCCCACAGCUGCAGCACUUGCUGUAUUCUGGUGAGGAAAGCAUAAAACUUCACCACUGUUCUUUAGCAGGCCGAGUAAAAUCUUCUUACCUUAGACAACAGACAACAGCUUCUGUGACUGUUCAGGAAACCAGUGAAGCCUCCAUCAGCCAACAGAUA